UUGGUUUUGUUGUUAAACAAUUAAAUAAAAGUGAUUUUAAAAUUGGUUAGUAAAUUAGUGGGGGCUUUUUACUACAUAGUGAAAUUUACUGGGAAUUUAUGAUUUAGUGGUUUUAUUUUUGAUUUAAUGGGGGUUAGAUCAAGAGUUGUUGUUAGUUGAAAUUAAUUAUGUGCCGGCAUUUGCGGUUACACAUUUUCUUAAAGUUAAUUUUUUUUAUUUUUAUUCAUUAGUGUUUUAAGAAGAAAUUUAUGGUUUAUUGUAUAGGUUUGGUGAAAUAAUUUUGUAAAAAAAUUAGGUUUAAAAACUUUAUGUUAAAAGUUAUUUAGAGGAUUAGGAUUAGAUACCUUAGUAUUAGGUAAAUUUAGGUAUUUAGGGAUUAAUAUAUUAAGUUAAAAGAUUUGGCGGUGUUUUAGUCUAUUUAGGGGAACUUGUUUUUUAAUCGAUAAUCCUCGUUUUAACUUACCUAUUUUGAUUAUUUAUAUAUCGUUGUUGAGAUAAUUUUGGAAUUAAUUAUUUUAUAAUUUUUAAAAAGUUCAAAUCAAGGUGUAGUUUAUAUUUAGGUUAAAGUGAGUUACAAUAAUUUUUAUUAGAUGAAUUGUAUUUUGUAAAUGUGUAUGAAGGUGGAUUUAAUAGUAAAUUUAUUUGAAAAUUAAAUUGAAUAUAGCUCUAAAAUGUGUACAUAUUGCCCGUCAUUUUCAAUUUAUAAUAGUUUGAAACAAGUCGUAACAUAGUUGGUGUACUGGAAGGUGUAUCUUG
rnacentral:ncRNA from 1 species